rnacentral:misc_RNA from 1 species
GAUGAAGAACGUAGCGAAAUGCGAUAAGUAAUGUGAAUUGCAGAAUUCAGUGAAUCAUCGAAUCUUUGAACGCACCUUGCGCUCCUUGGUAUUCCGAGGAGCAUGCCUGUUUGAGUGUCAUGAAAUUCUCAACCUUUUCAGCUUUCUUUGUUGAUCAGGCUUGGAUGUGGGAGUAUGCGGGCUUCUCAGAAGUCGGCUCUCCUGAAAUGCAUUAGCGGGACCUUUGUUGCCUGGCUUUGGUGUGAUAAUUAUCUACGCCAUUGUAGUCAAGCAGCUUAAAAUGAGUUUUCAGCUUCUAACCGUCUCCCCUGAGACAACUUUUUGACAAUUUGACCUCAAAUCAGGUAGGACUACCCGCUGAACUUAAGCAUAUCAAUAAGCGGAGGA